AGAUGUGAGGGCGAUCUAGCUGUUACAUCUGUCACCCCACUGAUCGCCAGGGUUGAUUCAGUUGAUCUGGCUGUCUAGGCAGGUGUCCCCUUCCUCCCUCACUGCUCCAUGUGCGUCCCUCCUGAAGUUGUGCACUCGGUGAAAGAGGACGACCUCCAGAUAGAGAAGGACUGUUCUUCGGUCAAGGGUACAAGUAGCUGCACUCCCCUACUAGAACCUCCAAACAAGCUUUCAAGAAACUAGUAGCUGCAUGCUAGGGAAUUAAGGGAGGAGAAGGAAUUUCAAAGUAAUUUUUAAAUACCCUCCAAAUUAUUCUGUUUU
ensembl:misc_RNA 7SK 7SK RNA